UACGAAGGGGGGCUAGCGUUGCUCGGAAUGACUGGGCGUAAAGGGCGCGUAGGCGGUGAUCACAGUCAGGCGUGAAAUUCCUGGGCUUAACCUGGGGGCUGCGUUUGAUACGUGGUUGCUAGAGUGGGGAAGAGGGUCGUGGAAUUCCCAGUGUAGAGGUGAAAUUCGUAGAUAUUGGGAAGAACACCGGUGGCGAAGGCGGCGACCUGGUCCUUGACUGAGCUGAGGCGCGAAAGCGUGGGUAGCAAACAGG
rnacentral:rRNA from 1 species